AACUCUAACUCUUGUUUUAUUUUGAAUCUUCUGAGUAGUUUUUACAAAUAAAUAAAAACUUUCAACAACGGAUCUCUUGGUUCUGGCAUCGAUGAAGAACGCAGCGAAAUGCGAUAAGUAAUGUGAAUUGCAGAAUUCAGUGAAUCAUCGAAUCUUUGAACGCACAUUGCGCCCGCCAGUAUUCUGGCGGGCAUGCCUGUCUGAGCGUCAUUUCAACCCUCAUGCCCCUAGGGCGUGGUGUUGGGGAUCGGCCAAAGCCCGCGAGGGACGGCCGGCCCCUAAAUCUAGUGGCGGACCCGUCGUGGCCUCCUCUGCGAAGUAGUGAUAUUCCGCAUCGGAGAGCGAUGAGCCCCUGCCGUUAAACCCCCAACUUUCUAAGGUUGACCUCAGAUCAGGUAGGAAUA
rnacentral:rRNA from 1 species